UGACUACUGGCAGGAUCAACCAGGUAGCACUCCUCGAUCGACAUUAGCACGCAUGAGCCCUUUCGAAUUACAAAAGGGUCAACUCGUGCUUAAUUGUCGUCCGUGCUUAGCGUAAAACGCUACAUUGGGUGUGCAACACAUUCAUGUCCACUCCCACUCAACAUUCCGCAUCCCAGAACACAACCAAGGACCGUUACCCUUUCUGAAGUGCUUAAUUUAGCAUAUUCAGUGGCUAACGGACUUGAUUUUGUAGGUUCACCAGA
rnacentral:misc_RNA from 1 species